rnacentral:ncRNA from 1 species
UGUCUUCAAGGCGGGGUGAAAGUCCCCACCGGUGGUAAAAGUCCACAAGCGUUUUGCUGAUUGGGUGCAAUUCCCAAACCGACGGUAUAGUCCGGAUGAAAGAAGAUG